GCGCCCGUAGCUCAGCUGGAUAGAGCGUCGGCCUCCGGAGCCGAAGGCCACAGGUUCGAAUCCUGUCGGGCGUACCA
rnacentral:tRNA from 2 species